rnacentral:rRNA from 1 species
CUCAAAGAUUAAGCCAUGCAAAGGUAAGAAAACUAUCUAGAAUGUGGUUUUCGUUUUAAGGCUCCUUAAAUCAGUUAUUGUUUAUUUGAAUGUGGAAUCUGGGAAAAGGUUCAAUCUAUGUGGAUAACUGUGGGAAAACUAUAGAUAAUACAUGCAAAAAGGGGAGACUGAGGCAACUUGGAAUCCCUGCAUUAUCUAGAAAUAUUAUCAAGAGGUGUACAAAACUUCUGAUGAUGAAACACAGUUUACUAAAUAGCAGAUCGAUAGCAAUAUCGACGCUUCAUUUAAAUUUCUGCUUUAUCAACUGUCGAUGGUAAGUUAUUGGCUUACCAUGGUUAUCACGAGUAAGGAAUUCGAUGGGAAUGAUUCCUGAGAUUUCGCCUGAGAGAUGGCGAAAAUUUCUAAGGAAAGCAGCAGGCGCGCAAAUUACCCAAUAUUGAGACAAUGAGGUAGUGACAAGACAUAACGACAGGAUUUAGGGUGCAGGAUAAUAUCUUGCACUCAACCUGAUUGCAAUGAGUACAAUUUAAAAAGAUUAAUUAGAAUCAAUUUGAGGGCAAGCUCUGGUGCCAGCAGCCGCGGUAACUCCAGCUCAAAUGGUGUAUAUUAAAAUUGUUGUAAUUAAAAAGUUUGUAGUUUGAAUUUGGAAUUCUGGAUUUAUUGAAUAAUCACAAUGUAAAUAUUGUGGUUAUUUGUUCAGAUUUUCAUUAAUGGAACAAGGAAUACUUAAUAUUCUGAAAGGAGUAUUAGGUAAUUUAAUUCUUUGUUCAUUUUACCAUAAAUAAAAUAGAGUGUUUAAAGCAUGACAUUUUUGUCAAUUGAAUAAUUUAGUAUGGGAUAAUAGAAGACGAGAGAAAAAAGAGUGUACAUCUUACAUUCAUGUAAAAGUGAAUGGUCUUUUUUCUCUAAUGAUUAAUAGGGACAAUUGGGGCAAUUUGUAUUUCUACUCGAGCGGUGAAAUGCAUAGACAGUAGAAAGACAAACUAAUGCGAAAGCAUCUUGCAAAGGUGUUUUCAUUAAUCAAGAACGAAAGUUUGGGGAUCGAAGAUGAUCAGAUACCAUUGUAGUCCAAUUUUUUCUUUACCAUAAAAAAUGACAACAAAGGGUGAGGGAGAAUGAAUUAAUAUUCAUUCUAAAGCCAAAAGCUUAAAGGUACUAAAAAGGAUUUAGAGCAAUCUAAAUUCUGAUAGCUGUCUUCCCUCGAACUUUGUAAGAAGUUAAGAGUGUUUAGUCUUUGGGGGUAGUAUGCAUCGCAAGAUUGAAACUUAAAUGAAUUGACGGAAGGGCACCACAAGGCGUGGAACUUGCGGUUUAAUUUGACUCAACACGGGGAAACUCACCAGGUCAGGACAUAAAAAGGAUUGACAGAUUGAAAGCUCUUUCAUGAUUGUAUGGGAAGUGGUGCAUGGCCGAAGUUAGUUCGUGGUUUGAAUUGUCUGCUUAAUUGCGUUAACGAACGAGACCUUUUGAAAUAAAUAGUGAAAAGAAGAGAGUGUUAAACGUUGUCGUUACCUAUAGGAGUAAUAAGAGUGGAAACAUUUUUAUCUUCUAUAUGUCGUUGAUGAUAACGAAUUUUCUUCAUUUUUCAUCCUGUGUCAAAAGCAGGAUCAAAGGCUUCUUAUUUCGACAAUUGGUGUCCAAUCAAUGUAAGUUAAAGUCAAUUUCAGGUCUGUGAUGCCCUUAGAUGUUCUGGGCCACACGCGUGUUACAAUAUUUUAAAUUAAAGGGUAAUAAAAAGAGAGGGUAUGUCUGUAAAAGGAUAUAUCAACUCUUUUGUAUGCUUUUGAGAAAUCAAUAGCUAAUCCUUUCGAAUUUAAUCAAAUAUAUCUGGGAUAGAUGCUUGUAAUUUUUCAUCUUAAACAUGGAAUGCCUAGUAAUCGUAGAUCAACAAUCUACGAUGAUUACGUCCCUGCCCUUUGUACACACCGCCCGUCGCUUCUACCGAUUGGACUGUCCGAUGAGCUGUAAGGAGAAUUUUAUUGUGAUUUAUUACAAUAGAGUUCAAAUUACAUCAAAUCUUACAGUCUAGAGGAAGAAGAAGUCGUAACAAGGUAACCGUAGGUGAACCUGCAGAAGGAUCA